rnacentral:rRNA from 1 species
CAUGCAAGUCGAGCGGUAACAGACAUUUUGAUUUUGCUUGCAAAAUCUCGUGCUGACGAGCGGCGAACGGGUGAGUAACGCGUAGGAAUCUACCUAGUAGAAGGGGAUAGCCCGAGGAAACUCGGAUUAACACCGUAUACGUCCUUAGGGAGAAAGAGGGCUUAGCUUUGAUGCUCUCGCUAUUAGAUGAGCCUGCGUAAGAUUAGCUUGUUGGUGAGGUAAAGGCUCACCAAGGCGACGAUCUUUAGCUGGUCUGAGAGGACGAUCAGCCACAUUGGGACUGAGACACGGCCCAGACUCCUACGGGAGGCAGCAGUGGGGAAUAUUGGACAAUGGGCGCAAGCCUGAUCCAGCCAUACCGCGUGUGUGAAGAAGGCCUUCGGGUUGUAAAGCACUUUAAGUAAGGAAGAAAAGAGUAUUGCUAAUACCAAUACUCCGUGACAUUACUUACAGAAUAAGGACCGGCUAAUUCCGUGCCAGCAGCCGCGGUAAUACGGAAGGUCCAAGCGUUAAUCGGAAUUACUGGGCGUAAAGCGCGCGUAGGUGGUUUAUUAAGUUGGGUGUGAAAGCCCCGGGCUCAACCUGGGAACUGCAUCCAAA